rnacentral:rRNA from 1 species
UACGUAGGUGGCGAGCGUUGUCCGGAUUUACUGGGCGUAAAGGGCGUGCAGGCGGUUUGUUAAGUGCAGGGUGAAAGCUCCCGGCUCAACUGGGAGAGGUCCUUGCAUACUGGCGAACUCGAGGGAGGCAGAGGAGAGUGGAAUUCCUGGUGUAGCGGUGAAAUGCGCAGAUAUCAGGAAGAACACCUAUGGCGAAGGCAGCUCUCUGGGACGGUACUGACGCUGAGGAGCGAAAGCGUGGGGAGCGAACAGG